UGGCUCUCGCAUCGAUGAAGAACGCAGCGAAGCGCGAAAUGUCAUGUGAAUCGCAGAACCUUGUGAAUCAUCGAAUCUUUGAACGCACCUUGCGCCCGGUGGCAUUCCGCCGGGCAUGUCUGUCUGAGCGUCACCCCUUGCUCGAUCGUCCGUCCGUCGUCCACAGCGGAUCGGUCGAUCGGAUCGUGGGCGCGGCCGCCGUCCUGUCCGGUCCUGUCCGGCCCGGCCCGCCUUAAAUGCACCUCGCACCGCACCGUCGAGUCGCGCAGAGCGUCGUAACACCUCGUUCGCGCGUCCAACUCGAACCAACUGCGGCGCGCCCUUUCAGAAUCGACCUCAGAUCAGGCAGGACGACCCGCUGA
rnacentral:misc_RNA from 1 species